GCCAGGAGUGGUGGCACAUGCCUGUAAUCCCAGCAGCUCAGGAGGCUGAGGCAGGAGGAUCUCAAGUUCAAAGCCAGCCUCAGCAACUUAGUGAGGCCCUAAGCAACUCAAUGAGACCCUGUCUCUA
rnacentral:sRNA from 1 species